CAGGAAACUCUAUUGGCUGUGAUGUUCUGUACCUAGGGGGAACACCCAGCAACCUCAUGUUCAUCCUUGUAAAAUGAUUGUGUGGUAUCCAAUGCAAAGUUUGUCAUGUUGAGUGUCUUUGGAAGGCUC